GACGAACGCUGGCGGCGUGCCUAAUACAUGCAAGUCGAACGCUGAAGGAGGAGCUUGCUUCUCUGGAUGAGUUGCGAACGGGUGAGUAACGCGUAGGUAACCUGCCUGGUAGCGGGGGAUAACUAUUGGAAACGAUAGCUAAUACCGCAUAAGAGUAGAUGUCGCAUGACAUUUGCUUAAAAGGUGCAAUUGCAUCACUACCAGAUGGACCUGCGUUGUAUUAGCUAGUUGGUGAGGUAACGGCUCACCAAGGCAACGAUACAUAGCCGACCUGAGAGGGGGAUCGGCCACACUGGGACUGAGACACGGCCCAGACUCCUACGGGAGGCAGCAGUAGGGAAUCUUCGGCAAUGGACGGAAGUCUGACCGAGCAACGCCGCGUGAGUGAAGAAGGUGUUCGGAUCGUAAAGCUCUGUUGUAAGAGAAGAACGAGUGUGAGAGUGGAAAGGUCACACUGUGACGGUAUCUUACCAGAAAGGGACGGCUAACUACGUGC
rnacentral:rRNA from 1 species